rnacentral:rRNA from 1 species
AAAUGAAUUGACGGGGGCCCGCACAAGCGGCGGAGCAUGCGGAUUAAUUCGAUGCAACGCGAAGAACCUUACCUGGGCUUGACAUGUUCCCGACAGCCGUAGAGAUACGGUCUCCCUUCGGGGCGGGUUCACAGGUGGUGCAUGGUCGUCGUCAGCUCGUGUCGUGAGAUGUUGGGUUAAGUCCCGCAACGAGCGCAACCCUCGCCCUGUGUUGCCAGCACGUCGUGGUGGGAACUCACGGGGGACCGCCGGGGUCAACUCGGAGGAAGGUGGGGAUGACGUCAGAUCAUCAUGCCCCUUACGUCCAGGGCUUCACGCAUGCUACAAUGGCCGGUACAACGGGAUGCGACACCGCGAGGUGGAGCGGAUCCCUUAAAACCGGUCUCAGUUCGGAUUGGAGUCUGCAACCCGACUCCAUGAAGGCGGAGUCGCUAGUAAUCGCGGAUCAGCAACGCCGCGGUGAAUGCGUUCCCGGGCCUUGUACACACCGCCCGU